CUUGGCUGCUGUGUUCGCACGCUCUGCACCUUGCUCCUGCCCACUCUGCUUGUCAGCUUUCCUCAGUCCUGAAAGAUCCUUAGUGCCUGGAUUUCAUCAUCCAGCCCUGCAGGAUGCUCCUCUUUGUUCUGGGGAAGGCUGUCCCAGACAGAGAGGAGAUGGAGGUAGAUACAAAGAUUGAUACGGAGGAGGAGAUGGAAAUAGACGGAGAAGACCCUGGAGAGGAAGAGAUGGAUGUGGAUGUGGAGGAGGAAGAAGAGAUGGACGUGUAUGUGGAUGAGGAAGAAGAGAUGGAUGUGGAUAUGGAAGAGUCCAUUUAGGACAUGGAUAUUGAUUAAAAAGGUGCGAUGGACAUCACAGAGACACCACCCUUUGGUAUAUAUGUUCUACAGUUUGUUGUUUUUCUUUAGAAUGUAGAUUGUAGGGCUAUUUUUGACUUCUGUAAAUACGUUUCCCAUAGUUUUGCUAGGUAGGUUUUUCUGUAUAUAUGUUCUAUUGAUUGUUGUUGUUGCAAAUAUUCUUGCAAUGUAAAUAUGUUCUGUAUUUUUGCUGCCGUUCUUCUGUAAUAAACAAAUUUUAUUUUUCACA